UACGUAGGGUGCGAGCGUUAAUCGGAAUUACUGGGCGUAAAGCGUGCGCAGGCGGUGAGCUGUGUCCGAUGUGAAAGCCCCGGGCUUAACCUGGGAAUGGCAUUGGAAACUGGCUCGCUGGAGUGUGGCAGAGGGGGGUGGAAUUCCGCGUGUAGCAGUGAAAUGCGUAGAGAUGCGGAGGAACACCGAUGGCGAAGGCAGCCCCCUGGGCCAACACUGACGCUCAGGCACGAAAGCGUGGGGAGCAAACAGG
rnacentral:rRNA from 1 species